ACAGUGUUGCAAGUUGCAACCUUUGCUCCUGUGCCAGCAGCAAGGCUUGAGAGUGGGCACUGGCCCUGCUCUUCCUGUCUGGGUCCCUUGCCCUUUGCACACUUCCCUGCUGCAGGCCAGCCCCAUGGAGGGACCCAGAGAUCCCGACCUGGGCUCCCUGCUGGCAGCUGCCCGGGGGUCUUACAGAAGGACCUUUGGGGCGGAUCCCAAGAUCGCCGCCUCUGCUCCUGGAAGGGUCAACCUCAUCGGGGAGCACACCGACUACAACCAGGGCUUCGUCCUCCCCAUGGCCUUGCGGAUGUAUACAGUGAUAGUUGGGAGUCCAAGAGAAGACAAAAUAAUAUCCAUUGUCACAACAGCUGAGGAAGCUGAAGAUCCUAAAAAGGUGCAGUUCCCAGUUCCAGGGGAAGGGCUUGUCUUGAAACCUGGAGAACCACGCUGGGCUAACUAUGUCAAGGGGGUUGUCCAACAUUAUAAAGCUGGCCCUCUCCCAGGCUUUAAUGCUGUUAUAACUAGCAGUGUUCCACUGGGUGCUGGUCUUUCGAGCUCAGCCUCCUUGGAAGUGGCUACCUACACUUUCCUGCAGCAGCUGUGUCCAGAUGAUAGGGAUCCAGUUGCUAAGGCAUUAGUAUGCCAAAAAGCCGAACACACCUUUGCAAUGAUGCCUUGUGGAAUCAUGGACCAGUUCAUCUCUGUGAUGGGGACGGAGGGCCAUGCCUUGCUGCUGGACUGCAGGUCACUGGAGACUUGCCUAGUACCUCUGGCUGAUCCAAAUGUACUUGUUCUCAUCACCAACUCCAAUGUACGGCACACCUUGACAGGCAGCGAGUACCCCACCCGUCGGCACCAGUGUGAAGAGGCUGCAAAGGUGCUUGGCAAACCAAGCUUGAGAGAAGCAACUAUGACAGACUUAGAGAAGGUGAAGGGCCUUCUUAGUGAGGAGGUGUACAGGCGAGCUAGACAUGUCAUUGGAGAGAUAGAGCGCACUACCAGAGCUGUGGAAGCACUAAAGUCCAGGGACUAUCAGACGUUUGGACAACUAAUGGUGGAGAGUCACAACUCCUUGAGGGAUGACUAUGAAGUCAGCUGUCCAGAACUAGAUGAGCUGGUUUCUGCUGCCAUGGAGAUCCCUGAAGUUUAUGGAAGCAGAAUGACUGGUGGUGGGUUUGGAGGUUGCACUGUUACGUUACUUGAAUCUGGAGCAGCAGAGAAAGUUCUGAGGCAUAUAAAGGUGACUGAUCAGUCCUUAAAGGUCAGGGAUUCUCCCUCCCAGGUACAAUGAGGCUUUUGAACGAUCUCCAUUGGUGUCAGCGGUUACACUGGCAGAGGUGCAGUAUGUGAAAGUGAACACAACACGACCAGUCACAUCAGGAAAAAUACAGUGGAAAAGCCACUUUUUAUUUCUCAACACCUUCCGGUGGAGCUAAAGCACAUCCCUUGCCUUGACAAGAAACUCUUGCCAUCCAUACAAGGAUAUGCUGCUGCUACUCUGUUAUCAGAGACCAGAAGAAUUUAGAGAGCUCCAAGCAAGUUUACCUAAUUCCUAUUUGCUUGGGAUAAAGACCUCAAAUUCACUUACUAAGGAAUUUAUUUUGACACCUUUCAUUAAUGUCAUUAAAAAUAUAUCAGUUUUA